CCUACGGGAGGCAGCAGUGAGGAAUAUUGGUCAAUGGGCGAGAGCCUGAACCAGCCAAGUCGCGUGAGGGAAGACGGUCCUAUGGAUUGUAAACCUCUUUUGCCGGGGAGCAAAAAGCGGUACGUGUACCGCAUCGCGAGUACCCGGAGAAAAAGCAUCGGCUAACUCCGUGCCAGCAGCCGCGGUAAUACGGAGGAUGCGAGCGUUAUCCGGAUUUAUUGGGUUUAAAGGGUGCGCAGGCGGCGAGUUAAGUCAGCGGUAAAAUUUCGGGGCUCAACCCCGACGAGCCGUUGAAACUGGCCUGCUAGAGAGUAGUUGCGGUAGGCGGAAUGUAUGGUGUAGCGGUGAAAAGCUUAGAGAUCAUACAGAAAACCGAUUGGGAAGGCAGGUUACCAAGCUACUUCUGACGUUGAGGCACGAAAGCGUGGGGAGCAAACAGGAUUAGAUACCCUAGUAGUC
rnacentral:rRNA from 1 species